rnacentral:lncRNA from 1 species
UUAUUUUAAGUUUCAAUUUGGUCCCUUACGUUUAAAAAGUAUCAAUUUGGUCCCUUACGUUUCCAUUAGGUUUCAAUUUAGUUAUUUCUUUCCAUUUUGUCACAUGUGGCAGUCAAUUCGCAUAUGUGGACUGACACGUGGACACUUUGACACAGUGACACGUGUAUAGUUCAAACGGUGUUAGUGACAAAACUAACGGAAAAGACUAAAUUGAAACCGAAUGGAAACGUAAGGGACCAAAUUGAUUCUUUUUAAACGUAAG